GAGACAUUAUUGACCUAGAGUGUUUGUUAUGGCCUCAGCUGAUCCCCGGGUCAGGGGGACACUAAGUUAACGUUUGUCAAGUUCACUCCGCUUAUAUUCCUUUUAUCCGCUAGUCACCGCAUUUACCGAACUCUCAGCUUACUGAUUUUGUGAUAUUUUGCAGCUAAUUUCUCCCUCCAAGUCCUCCAAGAUGGGGAAUGUAAACAAAUCAAUGAUGGAAGUUACUCGUAAGAACCAAGAAUUCAUGUUAGAGACUCAGCGGGUUCAACUGGAAAGACAGAUCCACAUGCAGAAUGAAAUGCGUGAGAAAAUGAUGUCAAUGCAAAUUGCAAGAUCCAGAGAGCUGUUGUAUUGGUUUGGGACAUUUUAUGCUGUUGCUGCCAUAGGAAUGGUGACUGGGUUCCGCCGCACCAAGAAACCUGGCACACUUGUUCCCCUGCUUCCUCUCACCUUCAUACUAGCAUAUCAGGCAGAUCUGGCAUAUGGCUCAAAGCUCAACAGGAUUAAAAUGGAGGCUGAGAAUAUCAUUAUAUUUGAGCGUGACCUGGUGUCCAUCCCCAUGGGCGUCCCGACCCCCGCUUCAAUCGAUGAGGCUCGGGAGCGGCAGGAGGAGACUAAGCGACUUAACAAGUAAUAUCUCCACAAUAUCGUAGCAACUUCAGUGUAGUAUCAGUAUGACAGCUUCUUUGCAAUCCAAGCCCUGCAUCAGCAUCGUAGUGGGUAUUACUAAGUCUACGUAACUCUCUCACGCCGCUACUCUUCUCACUUCUCCUUGUACAUUCGCCAAAUCCCAAGAGACCUGGAAUUAUUGGAAAUAUCUGCUGCCUGUACAGUAAUGGACUUCAAAGGUGGCUUGUUUACAUUCAUGUUCAGAGGCUGGGUUUAGAUAUAUCCCAAUACUGUACCUUUAACUGGCUUUAAUGGUCAAAAUACUCAGCUGACUUUUGUAAGGAAAUUCAUAUAUAAUUGGAAACACUGUGUAUCACUUUAGUAUCGGGAUAUACUAGAAUUUGGUCUUUCGUUAUUGCACUCGUGCCCUGGAGUCAGUAUGCCAAUGAAUAAAGUUUUUAUCUCUCGCUUCACAGUACUGUAUGAGACUGUAAAUAUAAGGAAUUAACUUUUAGUUUUGUUGAAAUGUUUACACUGUAUAAACUAAAUAUUGUGGUGAGUUUAUUUGGUGUACAGUAUAGUUAUGUGUUGCAGUAGAGUGUUUCUUCCUUGGCAUACAGGACAACACCAGUAUAGAAGCUUUGACUUAACACCCUUUCAUAGCUUUGCUUUCCCUUUGCUGCAGAACCUUUGAGGGAAUGAACCACACAGCUAAAGGUUUUUAAGGAAAGAGCAGAGAACUUGUGAGUGAGGUAAGGGCAUCUGGAACCUUAUCAGGAUACAAUAAUGGUGACUAUUACAAUGGGAGAAGAUAAUUUUUCAUUUAGUUUUAAUACACCUUCUCAAUUAUUGUCCACACUUUGUUUUAAUACCUAGAAAUGUGUGUUUGUGUCGGUACCUUGCAGAACACCACAAGAUUGUGUUGUGUUGUGUUGACAUUAAUCCUCAGACGGAUACAUUACAGUAUGGUGUUGUGAAACUAUUGGUGCUUGUUAUGUAUAAGGUGGAUUUUAUUUCCCUUGUCUAAUUGAUAAGUUCAUGACAUCCCCUAUUCAACACUAGAUCAGUUACUAAGACAUCAAUAGUACCCCCUUGUUUAGCACCAGGACAUCAAUAGCACCCCCCUUGUUUAGCACCAGGACAUCAAUAGCACCCCUUGUUUAGCACCAGGACAUCAAUAGCACCCCUUGUUUAGCACCAGGACAUCAAUAGCACCCCCUUGUUUAGCACCAGGACAUCAAUAGCACCCCUUGUUUAGCACCAGGACAUCAAUAGCACCCCCUUUGUUUAGCACCAGGACAUCACCUUGUUUAUUGGUUUGACUUAGGUUAGGUUAUGGAUCACAUUUGUUCACCUGUGUACAGUAUAUAUAUUUCAUAUCAUCUGUGUAGGGUAUGUGCAUAUAUCACUCAGUUUGUGUUCUAAUCCUAAAUAAUUUAACUAUAUAUGAUGUCCCACAUUGCACGCAGCAGUAUUCUGGAGAAAUUGAGUCUUUACUUUAUAACCUUUGCCAAAGACGACUUAUUAAAAUGCUAGUAUCGGGCCUGGCUCUUCAUGACCUUUUUCUUCUAGAUUUGAAUAAUAAUGAUGACAGGUAUAUCCCAUGUACAGUAGCUAAAACAACUAUCUGUGCAGGUGGUGGUCGAUAUGCUCCGAAAUUUUAUGUGUGACUAGUGACAGCCCUCAUAUACCAAAAUUUAUCGUCCAUGGUCUCAUAUUGUUUCCCACAAAGUAUGCACAGAUAGUUGUUUUAGCUACUGUACAUGUCUAGGGUGAUAUUAAUCUCAUGAGAAGUGCUCUAAAAGUUCUUAGAUUGUGUGAAUAAAUAGACAACCACUUGAGUCAUAGUAUUGGCAACACAGGACACAGCCAUAGUGAAAUAAAGAGAUAAUGGUCUCUUGAAGCUGUGUGGCAGCCGUAAAGUUAAGGUUUAGUACAGAUGCCCAUUUGAAGCUGACAGAUAAUGGUUCAUUCCCAUACUUCUGUGCUAACAAUGUCUUGUUGUGUAGUUUCCUCUUGUAAACUGUGUCUUCAAAUAAUAUCUGACAAAUUAUUUUCUGUUAUUCUUGAAACACUUCUUUUUACCUGAUGUUGAUUGACUCUUUCUAAUUAUUUUAAGGUUUUAUUACUGAUGAACAGUGUCCAGUCAACCAGGGCAAGAACAACAUCACCAUAGAUGAUGGUACUGUACAGUAGUGUUGUACAGUUGUCCAGCUCUCUAAAUGAAGUACUGUACUGUACCGUGUUUAUACAAAAUUAACCCGCUAGUAUUUUUCUAGAUGAAUUUUACGAACACCUCAGUUCUGCAUUUUGACUCUCAACAUUUUAAUUAAUCCAUACCUGCCAGAGGUGCUUAUCCCACAAUUAAAAACCCCUGAUUGACAUUUUUAGUGUUCAGUACCGUUAUUAAACAAAAAUGCUGAAUGUUAGUAAUAUCACAAUUUAAAUAGCUGUGCAUACCUUAAGGGGGUCACAUCCCUGACCUCAGCCUGCAAGUCACUGAGUGUAGAAUGGAUGGAUGGAUGGAAUUUAUAAAAAAUAAAUAAAUAAAAAUCUGGAAUACUGUUCACGAUAUGAAUGAGCCUGAAAUAAGAACAGGGUAUUUUUCCAUUAGUAUUUGAUAAAGCCUAAAAUAACCAUAAGAUAGUUUGUGUGACAUACAUAAGAGUACUGUACUACCACACAUAAGUAGGAUAUUAGACUGCUUGCAUAUAAAAGAAAAUAUAAUGACCAAACACACAAGGAACAGUACAUUGCUAUAGGUAUUGGGUGAAUGAACAACUUGAAGUUACUGUUUAAAUGUACAAUAAUAGAUGUAGAGUAAGUGUCCAAGUUGUAAGUUUUGAAUCAUUGUGCAACUUAUAGGUGUUAAACGAAUAUAUUAGUUCCGUACAAGGUGUGAAAUGGUGGUGUGUGGCGAUGGUGUUGAAAGCAUAGGUGCUGAAGAAAGAUAUAAACUUCAGGUACUGUAUUGAUUAGCUUUUGUUUUUUCCUAUAAAUACCAUAAAUAGAGGGAGUGAAGCUGAUCCUGGUUGACUAUCACUAUUUCCAUUAAAAUAAUUAUGGAAUGUAAUCCUUUGAAAUUGUGGAGAUGGUUUUCUUAUAUCUAGUGUGAUUAAGACCUAAGGCUAGCCUGUGCAUGUUUCCUAGUUAAGAGUUUAUGUACUAAAACUCACAUAUUGUUUCCAUCCUUCUAUCUAUCUCUUUUUCUAUGUAAAAUUUACUACUGGGUAAAAAUUCUUGUAUAAAUUAUUG